rnacentral:rRNA from 1 species
AUACGUAGGGAGCGAGCGUUGUCCGGAUUUACUGGGUGUAAAGGGUGCGUAGGCGGCUGAACAAGUCAGGUGUGAAAACCAUCGGCUCAACUGAUGGAUUGCACUUGAAACUGUGCAGCUUGAGUGAAGCAGAGGCAGGCGGAAUUCCCGGUGUAGCGGUGAAAUGCGUAGAGAUCGGGAGGAACACCAGUGGCGAAGGCGGCCUGCUGGGCUUUAACUGACGCUGAGGCACGAAAGCAUGGGUAGCAAACAGGAUUAGAUACCCUGGUAGUCCAUGCCGUAAACGAUGAUUACUAGGUGUGGGUGGUCUGACCCCAUCCGUGCCGGAGUAAACACAAUAAGCACUCCGCCUGGGGAGUACGGUCGCAAGACUUAA